rnacentral:rRNA from 1 species
UACGAAGGGGGCGAGCGUUGUUCGGAUUUACUGGGCGUAAAGGGCGCGCAGGCGGCUUUGUUUGUCAGGCGUGAAAGCCCCGGGCUUAACCUGGGAACUGCGUUUGAUACGGCAGGGCUAGAGUUCGGGAGAGGAGAGUGGAAUUCCCAGUGUAGAGGUGAAAUUCGUAGAUAUUGGGAAGAACACCGGUGGCGAGGGCGGCUCUCUGGACCGAUACUGACGCUGAGGCGCGAAAGCGUGGGGAGCAAACAGG